rnacentral:rRNA from 1 species
AUUGAACGCUGGCGGCAUGCUUUACACAUGCAAGUCGAACGGCAGCGGGGAGGAGCUUGCUUCUCUGCCGGCGAGUGGCGAACGGGUGAGUAAUACAUCGGAACGUGUCGAGAAGAGGGGGAUAACCACCCGAAAGGGUGGCUAAUACCGCAUAAAUUCUGAGGAAGAAAGCUGGGGACCUAGGAAUAGGCCUAGCGCUUUUUGAGCGGCCGAUGUCGGAUUAGCUAGUUGGUGAGGUAAAGGCUCACCAAGGCGAAGAUCUGUAGCGGGUCUGAGAGGAGGAUCCGCCACACUGGAACUGAGACACGGCCCAGACUCCUACGCGAUUAAGCAGUGUGGAAGUUUGGACAAUGGUGGCAACCCUGAUCCAGCCAUGCCGCGUGUAUGAAGAAGGCCUUAGGGUUGUAAAGUACUUUUGUUAGGGAAGAAAAGUCAGCUGUGAAUAACGGCGGAUACUGACGGUACCUAAAGAAUAAGCACCGGCUAACUACGUG